UACGGAGGGUGCAAGCGUUAUCCGGAUUUACUGGGUUUAAAGGGUGCGUAGGUGGACUGGUAAGUCCGUGGUGAAAUCCCCGAGCUUAACUCGGGAACUGCCGUGGAUACUAUUAGUCUUGAAUGUAGCGGAGGUAAGCGGAAUAUGUCAUGUAGCGGUGAAAUGCUUAGAUAUGACAUAGAACACCUAUUGCGAAGGCAGCUUACUACACUACUAUUGACACUGAGGCACGAAAGCGUGGGGAGCAAAC
rnacentral:rRNA from 1 species